GAAGAUGUAACGGGGCUAAACCAUGCACCGAAGCUGCGGCAGCGACGUUUAUGCGUUGUUGGGUAGGGGAGCGUUCUGUAAGCCUGCGAAGGUGGCCUGUGAGGGUUGCUGGAGGUAUCAGAAGUGCGAAUGCUGACAUAAGUAACGAUAAAGCGGGUGAAAAGCCCGCUCGCCGGAAGACCAAGGGUUCCUGUCCAACGUUAAUCGGGGCAGGGUGAGUCGACCCCUAAGGCGAGGCCGAAAGGCGUAGUCGAUGGGAAACGGGUUAAUAUUCCCGUACUUGGUGUUACUGCGAAGGGGGGACGGAGAAGGCUAUGUUGGCCGGGCGACGGUUGUCCCGGUUUAAGCGUGUAGGUGUGUGUUCCAGGUAAAUCCGGUUCACUUUAACACUGAGGCGUGACGACGAGGCACUACGGUGCUGAAGCAACAAAUGCCCUGCUUCCAGGAAAAGCCUCUAAGCAUCAGGUAACAUCAAAUCGUACCCCAAACCGACACAGGUGGUCAGGUAGAGAAUACCAAGGCGCUUGAGAGAACUCGGGUGAAGGAACUAGGCAAAAUGGUGCCGUAACUUCGGGAGAAGGCACGCUGACACGUAGGUGAAGUGAUUUACUCAUGGAGCUGAAGUCAGUCGAAGAUACCAGCUGGCUGCAACUGUUUAUUAAAAACACAGCACUGUGCAAACACGAAAGUGGACGUAUACGGUGUGACGCCUGCCCGGUGCCGGAAGGUUAAUUGAUGGGGUCAGCGCAAGCGAAGCUCCUGAUCGAAGCCCCGGUAAACGGCGGCCGUAACUAUAACGGUCCUAAGGUAGCGAAAUUCCUUGUCGGGUAAGUUCCGACCUGCACGAAUGGCGUAAUGAUGGCCAGGCUGUCUCCACCCGAGACUCAGUGAAAUUGAACUCGCUGUGAAGAUGCAGUGUACCCGCGGCAAGACGGAAAGACCCCGUGAACCUUUACUAUAGCUUGACACUGAACAUUGAGCCUUGAUGUGUAGGAUAGGUGGGAGGCUUUGAAGUGUGGACGCCAGUCUGCAUGGAGCCGACCUUGAAAUACCACCCUUUAAUGUUUGAUGUUCUAACGUGGACCCGUUACCCGGGUUGCGGACAGUGUCUGGUGGGUAGUUUGACUGGGGCGGUCUCCUCCUAAAGAGUAACGGAGGAGCACGAAGGUUGGCUAAUCCUGGUCGGACAUCAGGAGGUUAGUGCAAUGGCAUAAGCCAGCUUGACUGCGAGCGUGACGGCGCGAGCAGGUGCGAAAGCAGGUCAUAGUGAUCCGGUGGUUCUGAAUGGAAGGGCCAUCGCUCAACGGAUAAAAGGUACUCCGGGGAUAACAGGCUGAUACCGCCCAAGAGUUCAUAUCGACGGCGGUGUUUGGCACCUCGAUGUCGGCUCAUCACAUCCUGGGGCUGAAGUAGGUCCCAAGGGUAUGGCUGUUCGCCAUUUAAAGUGGUACGCGAGCUGGGUUUAGAACGUCGUGAGACAGUUCGGUCCCUAUCUGCCGUGGGCGCUGGAGAACUGAGGGGGGCUGCUCCUAGUACGAGAGGACCGGAGUGGACGCAUCACUGGUGUUCGGGUUGUCAUGCCAAUGGCACUGCCCGGUAGCUAAAUGCGGAAGAGAUAAGUGCUGAAAGCAUCUAAGCACGAAACUUGCCCCGAGAUGAGUUCUCCCUGAGACUU
rnacentral:rRNA from 1 species